rnacentral:rRNA from 1 species
GACGAACGCUGGCGGCGUGCUUAACACAUGCAAGUCGAGCGGUAAGGCCCUUUCGGGGGUACACGAGCGGCGAACGGGUGAGUAACACGUGGGUGACCUGCCCUUAGCUCUGGGAUAAGCCUGGGAAACUGGGUCUAAUACCGGAUAUGACUCCAUGACGCAUGUUGUGGGGGUGGAAAGCCUUGUGCGGCUAGGGAUGGGCCCGGCGGCCUAUCAGCUUGUUGGUGGGGUGGAUGGCC